GAUGAACGCUGGCGGCGUGCCUAAUACAUGCAAGUCGAGCGAACAGAUAAGGAGCUUGCUCCUUUGACGUUAGCGGCGGACGGGUGAGUAACACGUGGGUAACCUACCUAUAAGACUGGGAUAACUUCGGGAAACCGGAGCUAAUACCGGAUAACAUUUGGAACCGCAUGGUUCUAAAGUGAAAGAUGGUUUUGCUAUCACUUAUAGAUGGACCCGCGCCGUAUUAGCUAGUUGGUAAGGUAACGGCUUACCAAGGCGACGAUACGUAGCCGACCUGAGAGGGUGAUCGGCCACACCGGAACUGAGACACGGUCCAGACUCCUACGGGAGGCAGCAGUAGGGAAUCUUCCGCAAUGGGCGAAAGCCUGACGGAGCAACGCCGCGUGAGUGAUGAAGGGUUUCGGCUCGUAAAACUCUGUUAUUAGGGAAGAACAAACGUGUAAGUAACUGUGCACGUCUUGACGGUACCUAAUCAGAAAGCCACGGCUAACUACGUG
rnacentral:rRNA from 1 species